GCCUCCCGGGUUCACGCCAUUCUCCUGCUUCAGCCUCCUGAGUAGCUACGACUACAGGUGCCCGGCAUCAUGCCCGGCUAACUUUUUUUGUAUUUUUAGUAGAGAUGGGGUUUUGCCAUGUUAGCCAGUAUGAUCUUGAUCACCUGACCUCAUGAUCCACCGGCCUUGGCCUCCCAAAGUGUUAGGAUUACAGGCAUGAGCCACUGCGCUCGGCCAUGAAUAUCAUACUAGGCACAAAGACCCAUUUCUAGGAAAGGUGGAUGAUGUCAUCACUUAGAAUAAGGAACCACUAGUAUUAAGCAAAAGUACAGCCCUUGCUGAAUCCCUGAAGAGGACUUCCAUUCCCAGACAUACAGACAGCAGUCUCAACCACGAAGGCUCCAAGAGGACUUGGAAAAUUCAUGAUCCUAAUAAAACAAGUUCUUCCCUAGAAACAACUGUCAGCCACUUUCCAGUAGAAGAGAGAGAGACACAGCAGUGUUGCUCCCCGGCAGAUGCUGGCCACACAUGCCGUUCACAGCCCAGAGAUAAGCAAAGGUCAUGCGCACGAAUGAGUCUGUGCUAGUAUGGUUUCAAGCUGGCGAGGAAGAGCUCACGGUGCUUACCCAUGCAGUUCUUCAUCAUCAUGAAGCCACUUUCAUAGCCUUCGAAGCACUCGCACUCAAAGCUGCCCGGUGUAUUGACGCAGAUUCCACUGCCACAGAGGAGCAAGCCCCGAUAAACUUCCUGAAUGCUCUUCUCUGCCUUGGAGUCUGUUUCCUGAGGAGCUUAACCUGCCUCUGUCUGAAGAAAUAUCACAGGGGAUUUAUACUCUUGGGACAGAACAUUGGUCACAAAACCUAAGUUUAACUGAGAAAAUAAAGUGGGAAGUCAAACAUUUAAAGCAAAACCAAUUCUCAGAGAAUGUGGAAGGCUUCCUGUUGGUGAAGAAGGACCAAGGCGCUGGCCGCAGGCAGUUACCUUUGUAAAAUGGCCGCCCAGUAAGAACAUCCCCUCGGUUAGCAAAGCCAGCCCCGCGGGGGCACAGCGUCUCGUAUUCCUUGGUGCCAGGUUUGGGGCACUCCUCACACUCGGUGCCCCAAGCCGCCCCGACAGCACAGCAGCAGGCAUCCAUGCGGAACUUUCCAGGAACGGGGUGGAUGCAUUCAUCUUCAUCCCACUUCAAGUAACACUGCUCCAUGCGAAUAUCUACACCGAGAACGAAAUCACAGGGUGAGAAUGAGUUGAAACAUCCAUUGAACAGUCACAUGUCAAGCGUCUGCUCAGCACCAGGCAUCAUGCAGGACCCUUGCGGUGUACUGGUGGGCAAGAUGCAGUCCCUGACCUCCUGGAAUGGACUCCAUAAUGACAGUCAUUUAAGGAGAACAAAGGUGAGAUCCUCUUCAGUCUUAAUUCUCACAAGAAACCCUCAGGAAGAAAAGGUCCUCUCAUGAGAUGACUGCUUCAUGUCUAUUACUCCUUUUUUGUAUUGUUCACUUUAGAAAAGGUAAGAUAAUUUUAAUGAUAAUUCUUCCUGUUCAGAGAAUUGCUUCAAGUGCCUUUUAAGCAGCCCUGUCAGAUCCCAUUCAUAAACAGUAAAUGAUCGGCUAUAAUCUAUUUGCCAAUUUGUUACAACUAUUAAGAUCACUACAAAAGAAAGUGUUAUAAUAUUAUUACAUUUAAAGUUUUUUUUUUUCUCCUGCCAACUUUACCUUUUGCAUCAUGGUUUUUCCCUGGAUUAUGUGAAUUUUCCGUUUUAAGGGACCAAUUAUUUGUUUAAAUGUCACAUUUUCCCUCCAACUUCAAAACAGACCAACAUUUCAGUGCUUAGCCUGUGCUAGCCAGGACCUUAGAAUAUCUAUAAACAGUCGCCUACAUCUAAAAAUAGAGUAGACCAGAAUGGUCUAUAAAUAACAUGUUCAUCUGUUAGCAAAUAGAUUUAUUUUCAAAUCAUACUAAAGCACUUGGCUGUUUAAUUACAAAUAUGGAUAAUGAGUUUGGAAACGGUUCCUUAAUCAAAUAGCAUGAUUUCUUUGAUAAGAACAUUUUAAGACAUUAAAUCCUUUCCAGAAGCUGAAAACUGUCUAACGGAGGGAAUGAGAUCCCUGAUGGAAAUGUACACAUAAAAAUUAAUGUUUACUACUUUAGUUACUGUCAAUAUUGAUUCUUUCAAGUUCUAAAAGGUAAUGAGUUACAUUUCUGAGUACUGGAAUUAAAAAGUUCUAUUUUUUUUCUUUCUUUCUUUCUUUUGAGAUGGAGUCUCACUCUGUUGCCCAGACCAGGUGUGGCGUGGUGGCUCAUGCUUAUAAUUUCAGCACUUUGGGAGACUGAGGCAGCUGGAUCACCUGAGGUCAGGAGUUCGAGACCAGCCUGGCCAACAUGGCGAAAACCCAUCUCUACUAAAAAUACAAAAAUUAGCUGGGCAUGGUGCUGGGUACCUGUAAUCCCAGCUACCUGAGAAAAAGUCCUAUUUUUAAGGAAAAAAUAACUGUGGUAAAUGUUUAUUUUGAUUCAGCAGACUGAAUGUAGAUAUCUACAGAAGGUGAUUCUGUCUUAUAUAUCUACAUUAACACAAACCAAAAAGCCACAUGCUUUGCCAGUGUGAAGUGUGAUAGUAAUCCAGCGUCUCAUUAUCACAGGGCUCUGAGGGGCUAGUCUCCUUAUAGCUGGUUCCGUCCCAUAUGUCAGCAGCUAAGUAAGAAUCUUCUCAAGAUGUGAAAGUCUUAUAUAAGUACAGGUGGCCUAAGAACUCUGGCCUGAGUCAUACUGUGAGGUUACUGAAGAAACCUGCUCAAGAAGCUCAAGACAAACUAAAAAUGUACCAUUUCAUAGCUUAUUGGAAUAAACUAGGGUGAGAGGGGAAAGGCAUCUGAACUAUGCAUGUAAAAAGUUAUAACAGCCAGGAAGAGCAAUCCUGUCUUUAAUACUGAGACCUCUAUGGAUGUUUAUAUCGGCAAUUAAAAGUCAGCACACUACUGAGAACUCUAUAUUUAUAUCAGGAAUUAAACGUCAGUACACUGGCCACAUAAGGCCUAUCAAUGCUGCGAUUGUCCUUGCAUGGAAAUUAAAAUAUGAAUUUGGAAACCUUUGGAUGGUCCAUGUUCUCUGAAGUUUGCUGCAGUCCCCACUGCUCCCUGUUGUCGCGUCACUCAUUUAUAUGUUACAUGCUUGGCUCCUGCAAGCAUCUGAGUUUGGGAUCCCUGAUUCAGAUGAGGUUCUAUCAGAGCAUUUACCAAAACUUUAGUUCUCAGAAUACUUUACAUUUUCAUGUGCCAGUUGCUUCUUGAAACUUUCUCACAUCCCCAGACAGAAUUAAUUAAUAUAGCAUAAUUCAAGUGGUGACAAAAGCAUUUAAGCAAAGUACAAGGAUGAAGAAUCCAAUAUAUCAUCUUAGAAUAUUAAAAAAUGCUUUUUUUUUUUUGAGACAGAGCCUCACUCUGUUGCCAAGGCUAGGGUAUAGUGGUGCGACCUCGGCUCACUGCAAUCUCCACUUCCCAGGUUCAAGCGAUUCUCCUGCUUCAGUCCCUCGAGUAGCUGGGAUUACAGGCAUGCAUCACCAUGCCCAGCUAAUUUUUAUAUUUUUAGUAGAGACGGGGAGGGGGGGGUUCCCCAUGUUGCCCAGGCUGGUCUUGAACUCCUGACCUCAGGUGAUCCACCUGUCUCAGCCUCCCAAAGUGCUGGGAUUACAGGCGUAAGCCACCACUCCCAGCCAUAAUUUUGAAUAAUGUUAUUGAAAAUUUAUUUUGCUGAGUAAUAAUUUACAAUCAAUGAUAUAUCUUCAUAUAUUAUAGCAUUUCAUUAUAGAAGGUAACUUGAUUUCAUUAGUCAUUUGGCCAUACUGAUAUUAUUAUUUUUGACAUUUUCUUUUUUUAAAAUUUCGAUAGUUUUGGGGGAAUAUUUUGUCAUUUUCAAAUGAUACUUAUUUCUAAACAUUGUAGAUCACUUAAAGAUAAUUUUUAAAAUAUUUAAAAAUCUGAAAGACAUUUUCUUUAUUUUUGUACUUUGGAUAUUAUGUUUUCUAAAUAAUUUUGUAUGAUUUUACAGUCAUGCUUCCAAUCCAGAUUUAAAUGUGCUAUCAAAAACUGAGUUAAAAAUGAAAUCUGUUUUAAUUAUAAUAACUGUAUGGUAUUGCAAACUUUUUUCUUACAGUAAAUUUUAAAAAUCACUGAUAUGUAAAUACUUUAAAGGUGAUUGCAUACACCACCACUAUUAUUUAUGCUUUGUCUACAUGUCUAAAUUUCAAAUACAAAUCUAUGUAAAGUUCUUUUAUAAACUAAAAAUUUACUGUUCCAUAGCUUAUUGGGGGAAAAAAAAUCUCUGUAGGUAAAUGAAAAAUUAUUGUUACAUACAAUGAAAAUUAAUAGAAAUUUCUUUUUCAAUCAUGAAAUUCAAGUUCAAACAUGACACUAAUAAAGAAAAA
rnacentral:lncRNA from 1 species